ACAUGAAUACAUCGAAUCGGAAGAUGGACAGUAUUCUUUGCAAAAUUUAUGCUGAACCGUAUUUUUUGUCGAUGAUGAGAUAAACACAUGCGUUUAUAUAUAUAUAUAUAUAUGCAUGUGCGUACACGGAACAAUUUGCUUACUUGAAAAUAUUCUUGUACUUUGAAUGGUUGAAGACUAAUUUUUAUCGUUUACAAGCCUCACAUGUGUGCUCUUUUUUAUGCGAUAUUAGUAUAACAAUGAAGUAAUAAAGUAAAUCAACCUGUGGUAAUUGCUAUAUAGAGCAAGUAAUAUUAUGAAAGAUUCAUAACCAUGCACAACAGUGGUUCCCAUGAUUAUUCUUAAUAUACGAUGAUAAUGAUUACUGAUAAUAAUAGGAGUGAAACGCUAAAGUUCAUUGUACAAUGUUACAGAAAAAAGAAAGAACGAAAAAAAUUACCUUCAUGCCAGUUUGAGAAACUAUAGAUCGCAUACAAUUAAUAAUACCAUCGAUCAAGCGGUACGGAACGAUCACGCGAAAGUAAGAAAUAUCUUCCACCGUACAAUUUUCCCCAUCGACGAAUGAUGCAGGUUCGUUGAUCUGAAUUCGAAUGAAGACGUGAUUCAUGUAUUUCAAUCACUCGAUGCAACAUUCUCUAUAUAGAUAAAACCUGUUCGUUUGAAAAUAUAUGCGUUUCUAGAGACUUUGCGGAAUGUAAGUCUCAUGUUAAAAACACGAAGGAUCGGAUACAUUCAAUGUAUUUUUAUUCAAACGAUAUUCUCUCAUUUGAUAAAGAUAGACAACAUUAAAAUAAUCAAUCAAUUCCUCGAAUGUGGCCGAGAACAUGAUUUACAUAGAUACAUUCAAAGCCACAUUCUUGCGCUUGAAAUUCCACAAAGCAAUCAUACCUAGAUUCUCCCGUUCUCCGAAUCCUCUGCCUCCGGCUUCACACAGGUGCACCUGCAACAACACAAAUAAGCCUUUAGAUUAUAGUAUUCUACCUGUGCGAGCGGCUUGAUUCCGCACCAAAUACCAGGAAUCGAACGCAUGCGAGUGCGUCUAUAUGUGUAGAUGUAAAAGAAUGAUAUAAAAAAUUGAAAAGAAUAAGUAUUCGCAUUCAAAUAAAAUGGUAAAAUUGUACAAAAGCACGUUUCUUUCCGCAACAUUGAAUUUUGCCGCAAUAUCACCAACGAUAGGAAGACGAUAAUUUUUCACGCGAAUCGCGCUACGAUCUUUCGCGGAUACAAAAAAUAUUUUGCAAAAUAACGGCAAGAAUUAUUAGAAAUAAUAGCAGAAACGGCGUACACAAGUUCUCUCGAUAGGUAUAUAAAAUUUCCGUGGACUACCCCGUAUGCGUAGAAAAAAAAAAAAGGAAUUGCCGUGAUAUCAACAUCGGUGAACGAAGAAGAACGCACUAUGUAUUUGCGCAUGUGCAUGUGCAUCGCGCUUGUUCUCCCACUAUCCACAAUCUGAAAGGAGCGCGAACUCUCAAUAAAACCGCUCUACUUCGACAAAUCGCCUUAAUUUCAUCGUCAAUAAGCCCGAGAAACCCGCACCAAGUAUGCCGAUCGCCGUCUCUAUACACCGUGACUCUGUUACGCGACCGCUGUGCACGCGCUUGUAUGCGCGUAUAUACAACUUACAUAGACGGAGGGCACACACGCGCAGUAUGGCAUGCCGUUGGUGCAAGCCGCGUGAGCGAGUUUAACGAAUCUGAAGCAGAGAGA